rfam:Myotis brandtii contig319712, whole genome shotgun sequence.
GGUGGUUCUCGGGUUACGCACCCCAGAAUCAGGCUCCCUCCUCUCUGGUUCUGCGUGCAUCACCUGAGAACUGCG